GACGAACGCUGGCGGCGUGCCUAAUACAUGCAAGUUGAGCGAUGAAGAUUGGUGCUUGCACCAAUUUGAAGAGCAGCGAACGGGUGAGUAACGCGUGGGGAAUCUGCCUUUGAGCGGGGGACAACAUUUGGAAACGAAUGCUAAUACCGCAUAACAACUUUAAACAUAAGUUUUAAGUUUGAAAGAUGCAAUUGCAUCACUCAAAGAUGAUCCCGCGUUGUAUUAGCUAGUUGGUGAGGUAAAGGCUCACCAAGGCGAUGAUACAUAGCCGACCUGAGAGGGUGAUCGGCCUAAUUGGGACUGAGACACGGCCCAAACUCCUACGGGAGGCAGCAGUAGGGAAUCUUCGGCAAUGGACGAAAGUCUGACCGAGCAACGCCGCGUGAGUGAAGAAGGUUUUCGGAUCGUAAAACUCUGUUGGUAGAGAAGAACGUUGGUGAGAGUGGAAAGCUCAUCAAGUGACGGUAACUACCCAGAAAGGGACGGCUAACUACGUG
rnacentral:rRNA from 1 species